rnacentral:lncRNA from 1 species
UAUUACAAUAUUUUGAAUGGACGACUCAGAUUUAAAUAACUCAUACUAUCUCAUUUAAACUAUUUCAUCUGAAUCUCGUUUAUACAUAAGUAUACUAUCAUGAUCAGUAUCGAAAAUCGUAAUAUAAAUUAAAAAAAUAAAUUAUAUAUUUUAAUACUAGAAUAUAAUAAUAUAUAAUUUAUAUUUUUGGUCCGCGAAUUAAGGUAUAUUCUUUUGUAGUGAAUACUUCUCGAAAGGCUAUGAUUUUGGGGAUGUUUAGUAAUGGGUGGUAAUUCAAAAGCCUAAAACGAAACUGGUGGAGGAAUGAAUUUAAGAAAAUUCAAUAUGGGUUCUCUUUCCCUGAAAAAAUCUGUUUGUAGUGGCUCGUCCUCGAACAAAAGAGAUCUGAAUAAUAAUGCGAGGAUAGAAAAUUAGUUGAUCACGAAAUUAAUUACAUAAAAAAGAUCAACGAAGCUUCAUUUAUCACCUUGUUGCUGAGACAAAAAUGCCUUCAAACGCCACCAUCAUUAGAACAAUUAAUCACGAGAAAUAUUGCUGAUCUUACAAAAGAAGAAAGGGCCGCCAUUUUCAGACCUCUUUCGAUUUACUUAUUUCCUUCUUUUCUUACGAUUUCGAUGCCUCUAUCUCUUUC